rnacentral:rRNA from 1 species
GUGCCAGCAGCCGCGGUAAUACGUAGGGGGCAAGCGUUGUCCGGAAUUAUUGGGCGUAAAGCGCGCGCAGGCGGUUUCUUAAGUCUGGUGUGAAAGCCCGCAGCUCAACUGCGGAGGGCCACUGGAAACUGGGAAACUUGAGUGUAGGAGAGGAGAGCGGAAUUCCACGUGUAGCGGUGAAAUGCGUAGAUAUGUGGAGGAACACCCGUGGCGAAAGCGGCUCUCUGGCCUAUAACUGACGCUGAGGCGCGAAAGCGUGGGGAGCAAACAGGAUUAGAAACCCCCGUAGUCC